ensembl:rRNA 5S_rRNA 5S ribosomal RNA
GUCUACGGCCAUACCACCCUGAACGCGCCCGAUCUCGUCUGAUCUCGGAAGCUAAGCAGGGUCGGGCCUGGUUAGUACUUGGAUGGGAGGAAAGUAUACAAACUAAGGAUC